rnacentral:rRNA from 1 species
CCCUUAGAUGUUCUGGGCCGCACGCGUGCUACACUGAGUGGAUCAGCGGGUCAGGUUGCGCGAAAGCGUUUCCUAAUCUUUAAAUCCGCUCGUGAUGGGGAUUGACGGUUGCAAUUUUCUGUCAUGAACGAGGAAUACCUUGUAAGCGCGGGUCAUCAUCCCGCGCUGAAUACGUCCCUGCCCUUUGUACACACCGCCCGUCGCUCCUACCGAUUGAGUGGUCCGGUGAGGCUUUGGGAUCUGAGCGGAAAGAGCGUUUCGCUGUUUCUGCUCGGAAAACUCAGUCGAACCUUACCAUUUAGAGGAAGGAGAAGUCGUAACA